rfam:Bombyx mori DNA, contig: Bm_scaf37_contig22148, strain: p50T/Dazao, build 2, whole genome shotgun sequence.
UUAACUCAAAUUUGUAUGGAGUUGAAAGCGUUCCUACGUUAGCCGCUAGAGGCGUUGUUCGAACUCCAUACAAAUUUGGGUUA